rnacentral:misc_RNA from 1 species
UGUGAACAUACACUAAAUACUUUGAGAUAUGCAGAUCGAGUUAAAAGUCUUUCAAAAAGUGGAAAUCCAAGAAAGGAUCAGAAUGCAAAUUCAUUACCUCCAACUAACAAGGAUGUAUCAUCAGCAUCAUCUUUGCCCAUUUUUUCUGAUGUAGAUGAUGUUUAUGAACAACAACAAGAGUUGAAGGCAGUGGACACAGGUAGAAGAGUGGUAGAAAAAGAAACAUUUUCUUACAACCCUACUACUGAUUUUGACAAACAUUCCCCAAGUUUUACUUCAAGUUAUCCCUUGAAUGGACUAGAUGAAAGUGGAUCUUCUGGCUUAGUGGAUAAGGAGUGGAUUGAAAUUAAUAAUUCUUAUGGUGGUUCUACAAGCCAAAAAGUCCAUUUGUCAUAUUUUCAAAACUCAGUGGAUACAGAAGAGAAAAUGCAAAAGGUGUCACCGCCCCCUAGAAAAGGAUCUAGGGAGGAAAAGUUGGAAAAUUUGGGUAACUGGUUGAAAAAAGACAACGGUGGUUCUGAUCUCCCCUCCACAAACAGCAGGCAUCAGAGCACUGGAAACUAUACUGCUAAUAAUACUGGAUCGCGACAUUAUGAUCCUGAUCCUCCUUCAGAUGGGAAUAUCAAUGCCAUACUUGAGGAGGAAGAGGCCUUAAUCAAGGCUCAUAGAAAAGAAAUAGAGGAUACAAUAUGCAUUUCAAUAAAAAGAAAGCUAGCCAUCUCCAACGGCAGAAGUUGAACAACCAGGCAGUCUCAUAGAUAGCUAUGUGACCCAGUUAAGCUUUGUGCUCUCACGCAAGGCAGCAGGUCUGGUUAGUCUUCAAGCUCGGCUGGCUAGGUUCCAGCAUCGACUUAAAGAACAAGAGAUACUUAGUCGGAAGAGAGUUCCUCGUUAAUGCAGGCACUGUCUUCUUCAGCAAUGGGAUCUUAUCCUGUCUUUUGCAAGGUAGGGAACCGUUUUUAGGUUUAACAAGGAUCCGAUGCACUACAUAUCAAUAGUAUCAAGGGCAAAUGUUGCUGUUCACAUCCAGGCUUUCUUGCUUUUAGAGCGGUGGUGGGGAGCAUUACUGGUGGUUGGUUUGUUAAAUGUAUCAUUCAGAUGCAUCUGAUGUAUUGUUAACUGAUUCGUUGGUUUGUGGCCUCGGAAAGUUGUCAAAGAUGAUUGGGAAACAAUUCUCUUUUAGGAAAGAAAGGGAAAAAUAAAAAUGUGAAAUAUAUAUAUAUAUAUAUGGCGUUGUGAAAUCAUUUUUCUUGUUAAAAAAAAA